UAGGGAAUCUUCGGCAAUGGACGAAAGUCUGACCGAGCAACGCCGCGUGAGUGAAGAAGGUUUUCGGAUCGUAAAACUCUGUUGUUAGAGAAGAACAAGGACGUUAGUAACUGAACGUCCCCUGACGGUAUCUAACCAGAAAGCCACGGCUAACUACGUGCCAGCAGCCGCGGUAAUACGUAGGUGGCAAGCGUUGUCCGGAUUUAUUGGGCGUAAAGCGAGCGCAGGCGGUUUCUUAAGUCUGAUGUGAAAGCCCCCGGCUCAACCGGGGAGGGUCAUUGGCAACUGGGAGACUUGAGUGCAGAAGAGGAGAGUGGAAUUCCAUGUGUAGCGCUGAAAUGCGUAGAUAUAUGGGGGUACACCAGUGGCGAAGGCGGCUCUCUGGUCUGUAACUGACGCUGAGGCUCGAAAGCGUGGGGAGCAAACAGG
rnacentral:rRNA from 1 species